rnacentral:rRNA from 1 species
UACGGAGGGUGCAAGCGUUGUCCGGAAUCACUGGGCGUAAAGGGCGCGUAGGCGGCUCGGUAAGUAGGGGGUGAAAUCCUGCGGCUCAACCGCAGGGCUGCCUUCUAAACUGUCGAGCUCGAGCACGGUAGAGGCAGAUGGAAUUCCCGGUGUAGCGGUGGAAUGCGUAGAGAUCGGGAAGAACAUCAGUGGCGAAGGCGGUCUGCUGGGCUGUUGCUGACGCUGAGGCGCGACAGCGUGGGGAGCAAACAGG